GUGUUUUUCUUUGCAUGAGAGAUUAGUGACAGGCUAAAGUGUCACUUCACUAAAGCUGCUGAGAGGAAGAAGUGAUGAAAUGUGCUUUUUAAUAGAAGGUGUCACGGCCAGGCAGAUCAGCUGCACGCUGAUCAGCACUCUCUCUGUUUCUCUCUCUUCCUCUUUCUCUCCUCUCCUCUCUCGCCGGGGCGGAACUCACUGUGGGUUCACGCCCUCGGCCCACGCCCUCGGGAGAUGAGACACCUGGGUCUCAUCAAGGUGAUCAGCAUUUAAGCCAGGAGGUGACUGCUGUUCGUCGCUGGAUCGUUGUCUACCACGCGUUAGUGAAGUCAAGCUACAGCAAGUUAGUUAAGAGUGUUUUCCUGUGUGCGUCGUACUUAACCCUGUCUCCCUGUCUACAGAGCUUCCUGGAUUUUUCCCCCGUGUGAUUCCCGUGUGGCAGUGUCGGAGUGUGAGCCUGUGAUCGUGUGAGUGGAUAAUCUGAAGAACGCGUGCUUUCCCCUGGACCUCCCUGGAGACCCUUCUCCCCUCACUCAGCUGUAUAUAGCACCCCCCGCACAUUCUUGUAUAUACACCUGGUGAAUUGUAAAUAAACCCUUCUUGUGAGCAUCAGAACCGGAGUCCUGCGCUUGAGUCCUCCUCCAAACCGUAACAAUAACGAUCCAGCCAUCAUGGACUCAGCGGACUCAAAUCCCACCCAGCAACCUGUCCUCACCCCGGAGGCAAUUCUGGAACGCCACGAACACAUGCUUCGGCACAUAAAUCAACAACUGGCUGCACUCACUCAAGUCCUCGCUCAACAUCUACCAUCGGUAAGCCCACCCUCACCCCCUCCGUCUGUUUCUCCUCAGCUAUCGGCCCCGAAUCCAUCUGCAGCCGCUCCGCCUGUUUCCCCCGCACCGGCUUCCACUGAACCUCCAGAGCGAUCGUUACCAGCGCCGGAGCCUUUCUCGGAUAGAUGAGCACCUACGGGCGCGUCGGGGAACCGGAAACUACAUUUCCCAGAGGCCCCCGGGGCGCAUGGAGACGACGUCAGGUGGAGGCGCGCUUAGCGGCAGUCACGCAUCGGAUAGCAUGGAGGAAAGUGAACAGCCCAUGCAACUGGGCCGCUCCAGACUGUCGCCCGAGGAGCGGUAUCGUCGCAGGAGAGCCGGUGAGUGCUUUUAUUGUGGCCGCAAGGGCCAUAUUGCCAUGGAUUGCCCAGCUCGGCCAAAAGACAGCGCCCGCCAGUAGUGAGGAGUGUACGGGUGGGCGAGGUCACCUGUUCUCAGUCUCCUCCUCGUCUCAUGAUUGCAG
ensembl:lncRNA